UCGGUACUUAAGUACCGAUUAAACAUGUGCAGUGAGCCACUGCAACGGCAGCUGCAUAAAUCCUGUAUGGUCCGAUCCUCACAAAACGGUAGGUACCCAACAAUUACAAGGAG
rnacentral:ncRNA from 1 species